AAUCAGACCCGACCCACCGACUACGAUCUCAGCAGACUCUCAUCAGCGCGCUGAGCCCACCGGCGCCACUUCAAUCACAGCCUGCGAGGCCGGCAGCCGGCUGGCUACUAAAAGUUCCACACCAGUUCAACUCUAAGAAAAUUCGAUUCAACUAUUUGAAUUCUUCUCCCCUAACCGGGUCCGAAUAUGUACUGAACGUGGUUGUUUCAGCCUCAUGUGCUUCAACAGACGUCAUUUGAGGGUAGGAUCUCUGGCUGUCGCCAUCUUGGUUGGACACGAUGUCACGUGACCAACAGGUGCAUCCAAAUGGUCGGGUGGAGCGGAGAAGCCGAGCUGGUUGGUUACGUCAUCGUUUGAGAAUGACCAAGCAGAGAAGAAGAAACCGGGACCCACCGAGGAGGGAUUUUUUGUUUCUUGGUCACUAGAAAAAGUCUUUUUGAUCCCAGACUUUUUGAUAUCUACAACCUCACUUAUAUUAAUAAGUACAUUAAUAACUGACGGAUUAUUUGUCAGAAAAACUGUACAAUCGGCCUUCUCGCACAUCUUCCACCAGAUGUCAGCGUAGACCCACAACAUGUUAGAUCCCAUCUCGGCUCAUUUCACCCCAAAGAAAGAAUACGCACAGAGUUUUAACACUUCUUACACCAUUUUUCUAAAUUUGUCGGCACUGCCUCCUCGCAUAAAGUAAUUUCAUAGUUCAACUUUAACAACUUUAACAUCCUUUGUCCUCAUUCACUUAUGUAUGUUGAUUCUUUUUGUCUUGUCACCGCCUCCGGAGGUGCUGAUGAAUGAGUUGUCCUGUUCCCUUGACUGAAGUUUCCUGCAGCAUUGACUAACUAAUGACACAUCAGUGAAGGGCAAAGCGUUUUAUUUUCUUGUCAGGCAUUUUAAUCGGAUUUGAAGGUUAACUUUUAGUGCGGCCUGCACGCUUUCAUCCCCUCUUCAUCACGACGCAGCUAUGGGAACGCUGGAACGGGAGGAAGUGCACGUUUUAUUUCUUGACGGAAGCUUUAUGGCUCAUCCCGGGCCGGUUAGUGUCCCUGGGACGCAGGUGGUAGUGAUCCUCAUCAGUAUUUAAGGGACAGGUCCGUCUCUCCCUGAGGCUUGUUUCUGCAACACCUCGCCGGCUUUCAUUUUGUCUGAUAAAAGGUGCAUCAAAUCCCACCAGUGUCUGAAGGCUGUGUCUUCACUUGAUUUAUUUGUGGUGUUUUCAGGUUCAAGAGAACACGCAACUCUGCUUGUAUUCCAAGUGCAUUGAUGAAGAAGACCAUCGUACAGCAGCUGUUCGCGGCUCGCACAUCUUCACAUUAGAACCAACUACAGUCGAGCUGGACGCGCGUCUUAUGAUUAUUGAACGGCAGCACUGAUUACGAGUGCAGAGCCAACGCACCAGCUUCCUGUUAUGGGGGAUCAUUCGUGCUCCUUUGAGUCGUGAACACACUUGAAGAAAACCUGGUUUGACCUUUUUAAUCUUCUGACUAAACAGGAGCUGCUUCCAAGGGUGUUCAAAGUCUCAACAGCUCCUUUGUCAGCUGAUUUGAAAGAAAAAAACGUGUUUAUUUACAGCAUGAAGUACACGAGGAGAGCUAAUAUUACGACGCACACCUCUGCUGAGGCUUUGAUUUAGGACUUUAAGGCAAUUUGUCUGACACUUUCAGAUGUUCAUAGAAGCUUGUUUUUAGGCAACCUUAAGAUUUUGUGUAUAAUCUUCUCAUGUAGUUAGAUUAUU
ensembl:lncRNA